AGCGAACGCUGGCGGCAGGCUUAACACAUGCAAGUCGAACGCAUCCUUCGGGGUGAGUGGCAGACGGGUGAGUAACACGUGGGAACGUGCCCUUCAGUUCGGAAUAACUCAGGGAAACUUGAGCUAAUACCGGAUACGCCCUUCGGGGGAAAGAUUUAUUGCUGAAGGAUCGGCCCGCGUCUGAUUAGCUAGUUGGUGGGGUAAUGGCCUACCAAGGCGACGAUCAGUAGCUGGUCUGAGAGGAUGAUCAGCCACACUGGGACUGAGACACGGCCCAGACUCCUCGGGGAGGCAGCAGGGGGGAAUAUUGGACAAUGGGCGAAGGCCUAAUCAAGCCUUGCGGGGGGAAUGAUGAAGCCCUUAGGGUUGAAAAGCUCUUUUAUCGGGGAAGAUAAUGACUGUACAGGAAGAAUAAGCCCCGGCUAACUUCUUGCCAGCAGCCGCAGUAA
rnacentral:rRNA from 1 species